UGGGGAAUUUUGCACAAUGGGGGAAACCCUGAUGCAGCGACGCCGCGUGAUUUAGAAGGCCUUCGGGUUGUAAAAAUCUUUUGUAUGGGAAGAAAAUGACAGUACCAUACGAAUAAGGACCGGCUAAUUACGUGCCAGCAGCCGCGGUAAUACGUAAGGUCCGAGCGUUGUCCGGAAUCAUUGGGCGUAAAGGGUACGUAGGCGGAUAAGCAAGUUAGAAGUGAAAUCCUAUAGCUCAACUAUAGUAAGCUUUUAAAACUGCUCAUCUUGAGGGAUGGAGGGGAAAGUGGGAUUCCUAGUGUGGCGGGGAAAUGCGCAGGUAUUAGGAGGAAGACCGGUGGGGAAGGCGGCUUUCUGGCCGUAUACUGACGCUGAGGGACGAAAGCGUGGGUAGGAAACAGG
rnacentral:rRNA from 1 species